rnacentral:rRNA from 1 species
GGGAGGAUUGCGGCUGCUACCAUGCAGUCGAGCGGCAGCACGGGUACUUGUACCUGGUGGCGAGCGGCGGACGGGUGAGUAAUGCCUAGGAAUCUGCCUAGUAGUGGGGGAUAACGUCCGGAAACGGGCGCUAAUACCGCAUACGCUCUACGGGAGAAAGUGGGGGAUCUUCGGACCUCACGCUAUUAGAUGAGCCUAGGUCGGAUUAUCUAGUUGGUGAGGUAAUGGCUCACCAAGGCGACGAUCCGUAACUGGUCUGAGAGGAUGAUCAGUCACACUGGAACUGAGACACGGUCCAGACUCCUACGGGAGGCAGCAGUGGGGAAUAUUGGACAAUGGGCGAAAGCCUGAUCCAGCCAUGCCGCGUGUGUGAAGAAGGUCUUCGGAUUGUAAAGCACUUUAAGUUGGGAGGAAGGGUGUGUACCUAAUACGUGAUUGUUUUGACGUUACCGACAGAAUAAGCACCGGCUAACUCUGUGCCAGCAGCCGCGGUAAUACAGAGGGUGCAAGCGUUAAUCGGAAUUACUGGGCGUAAAGCGCGCGUAGGUGGUUUGUUAAGUUGGAUGUGAAAGCCCCGGGCUCAACCUGGCAACUGCAUCCACAACUGGCAAGCUAGAGGAUGGAAGAGGGUGGUGGAAUUUCCUGUGUAGCGGAGAAAUGCGAUAAUAUAGGAAGGAACACCGGUGAAGACGGCGACCUCCUGUACUGAUGCUGACACUGAGGUGCAGAAAGGGGUGGGGGAGAAAACAGGAUAUGCUACGCUGGUACUCCACCCCGUAAACGAUGACAACUAGUCGUUGGGAGCCUUGAUCUCUUAGUGGCGCAGCUAACGCAUUAAGCUGACUGCCUGGUGCAGUACGGACGACUAUGAAUAACAACUCAAAUGAAUUGACGGCCGGCCCACACAAGGCGGUGAUAGCGAUGUUGAUUCAAUGCGAGCAACGCAAACCUACCUUACCCAUGCCUUGACAUCCAAUGAACUUACCAUUAGAAUAGAAUU